UAUUCCCCUAUGUACAAAGACAAUUUAAGAAAGAAAAGAAUCAAUUCCAGUGGCCAAAUUUCAUUUACAACACCUCCUCUCCUUUGUACAUAAAUAGAAAAGAUGGGUUUGGCUAAAAGGACCAAAAAACCUCAAACCAUCAAACUUUGAUAAAAGAAUCCUUCAGUAACAAAAGGAAUGAACAGAAUUGCUGGCCUACAUUUUCACAUCUAUAGGGCAAAGAUAUUGUUCGACAUCGAGGCAUUAUCCCUGUACCAUAUCACAAACUUUCACGAUUGUUUUGACUAGUAUGGCUCGGUUGCAAGUUGGGAUCUGAUCAGUAGAGCUUUAACCGUGUGUGGAUUGAACUCCGACAGAACGGGCAUAUUUGAAGAUCCUGUCCACAUUCGCCACAAGUCUGAUGUCCACAGCCAAAUGCCAGGUCCUUUGGGUUAUUAAGGCAAAUGCCGCACAACUUGUCAUCAUACGAUGAAAGAUCAACCGAACGAACAGUUUCAAUCGGCUUAUUAUUCCCAGGAUACGGAGGCACGCUUGGCUCAAAGUUGAAGGAUUGAGGAGGUUUUGGUCUGCUGAAAGAUGCUGCGACAGGUGGAGGAAGUGGAAUCCUUUGGGGAGCACUGCCUUUCCGAGUCCCCAGUAGAUUAAGUUCCAAGGUGGCUUUAUAUUGAGAAGGAAUCUCCAUCAGAGCUGCAAGUGCAAAUUCUGUCUCCUUCCGAGACUGGGGAACGUUCUUCGACAUGAUUGCGGUAAAAUUUACAAACUGAAAAUUAUCAAAGGCACGGGCAGGGAUGUUGUCGUCGAAUUCUCUCAUUGUAUCCCAUGGUCCAUCCCCGACACCAACUAAAAUAAUUGAAAGAGGAAAAUUGCUUGCUGCCACAAUGGCAUCAACUGUUUUCUGUUCUUGUGGACUUAGCAUCCCAUGCUCAGUGUCCACACUUCUAGUCACCUGCCCAUCGGCAAUUAUCAACAGAACGUGAUACUGGCCACCACUCUGCUCCACAAUUGACGUUGCCAUCUCAAUAACAGGUGCAAAUGAAGUUGGUCCUGCAAGCCUUAGAUGGGGAACAAUUUCCCGAUAACGAUUCAACACGUCCUCAAAUCCGUUACAGAAUCUCCCUUCUGGAUAGAAACUAAAGACAUCUUGAUCAUGCGUAGAUACAUCGCCAAAUCCAAAGCACGGAAUCAAAUUAUCAUCAUCAAAAGCAGACAACGUUUUUCCAACGAUGGAUAUGGCUUGUUCAUAUGGAUUGGGGCCAUUUCUGAUGUCAUGAAGGCUUCGUUUGUUAAAUGAUUUUGCACCGGUCCAUUCAUUGCUCUUUGUGAAAUCAAUUCCAAUAAUGAGAUUGGACGACUCAAGCCCAGCACGAGCAAGAGCUCCUGUUACCUCCUCCAAGGAUUGGUAAUUAUCAGCAAUUCUUGAGUAUCUUCUGUCGAACUUUCUUCCAUUAUCAGCACGAGCAGCACCACCAUGGUAGUUUUCAGGAGGAUAAUACUGCGGUGAGGAAUAUGAUUGCUGUGGCACGUAACUCUGACUUUCCUGACCAUAUGGGGAUUGAGCAUAUGCUUCCUGAGCAUAAGGGGAUUGAGUAUAUGGGGGUUGAGCAUAUGCACCACUCCAUGACGACGAAACCGGCUGAACCGAUGGUUCCUCCCUUGAAUUUGCAGCCCCCAUGAAUUUCAAACUCUAUCAAAUUCUUCUAAAUCUAACCUCUUCUUUUCUGAUGAACAAAGAAAGGCAAUAAAAUCAGCCUAAAUUAAUCAAAAUCCUCAGCUAGAAGGCAGAUACCAGUAUAUCCAAAAGGGGGAAAUAGUAGUCCAACAGGCCAAA
rnacentral:misc_RNA from 1 species